GGGGAUGUGGCUCAAGUGGUAGAGCGCUCGCCUAGCAAGUGUGAGGCACAGGGUUCGAUUCUCAGCACCA
rnacentral:tRNA from 1 species